ensembl:lncRNA
CAUGGAACCCAGGACUGGCCAAUGAGACUAAAAUAGGGAACUUUAGCUUGGACCAGUGACAAAGACAAGACUUCUCUUUCUACUGGACUUGAAUCUAGACACGCUUGGGGGCUGUCAUGCAGAGAAAAUCUGUCAAUGAGAGUGCCCAACAGAAGAAGGUGAUAUCAAAAGACAAAGAAAAACAAAGCACUAUUGACAUCAUUUGAGCUUCUGGAAUUUUCCAUUGGGUUAAUUAAUGACCCUCCCUCUCCACACAUAUAUGCAUUUGUUUGUUUUCUGCUUUGUUUUGUGUUUUGCUUAAAUCAGUUUAAAUUGAGUCUCUGUCACUUGCAAGAAAAGUCCCACUGGACAAACAACUUAGAAUUUUUUUUUUCUUCAAAAAUCACCAUGGACCCCUUCAACAGUGGGGCUGCUAUUUGAACACACCUGUUUGUGCCUUGACCUCACUCUUUUUUAUGUACAGACAAGGCAAAUCCUUUCCUGUCACUAAACACACCAACUCUCCACGCCACUGGCUUGCCCUUAAUGAUGCCGCCUGCCUCUCUCUAUACCAAUUUGUACCCUGUCCCUCCCACAGCACAGGACCUGCUCCACCCACCGUCCUGCUUUUCUAACACUGUCUACUCAAGUGAUCUUCAGCUACAAGACAGUAAACUUGACACUGAUCACAGUUUGGCAGCACCUUGCAAGGCAUUCCAGCUCACUGGCGCUCUGAAGUCACGCUUAUCUCCUCUUCCACUUCCCCUUGCUUUUUCCUAUUUGCAGUCGACAUAUAAAUUAAGGGUUUUGAACUACUGUAGCAAUAUGCUCAUACGCAGAUGCAAUCACCAUUCUAAAUGAUGGCUUUGCUCAUCCCCUGCUCGUCUUUAGAGAAUAAAGCCAGGCACGGUGGGAAUCCUCACAGUGCCAUCCAACCCAAAGUUCCUACUAUUCCGCAGGGGUUUGCUGGUGGUGUUUGUAAAAAUUCACAGAGAACUUUGCCUAAAACCUCCCAGUGGGGAAGGUAGAUGCAUGCAGAUGUCCUGAACCCCUCUCAAUGUCCUCUUGCACGUCACCUCCUCCUCCCCCGCUGCUCCUCUCCACUCGCUGACAUUCCAAAACCUUUCAAACAGUCAGGAACAUGGACAAAAGGAGGUGCCUGGUUACAUGCCCUGGGUAGGAUUCAUGCCUAUGCUGCUCCCCAGGGAGCAGAAUGCUACCCAGGUUGAUGUAUCCUGGUCUCCAGUCAGGAAGGCUUAGUUCAAAAAGCAUCCUUAAUUUUUAUUAUAAUAUGUUUUCACCGAAAAUCCUGUUUCCCUGGUGUUUAGACAAGAUGGGUAUUUUUCAGGAAAUGGGGAGAGACAGGCACACAUGUGUACAGCACAGUGGGUUACAACGCAGACUCUGGAGUCAGGAUGUCUGAGCUUAAAUCCAGGGCUGACCACUUGGACGCGCUAUUUGACACACUUUUCUUAUUUGUUUAAUAGGGAUGAUAUUAGAAGCUGCAUCAUAAGGCUGCUGGGAAGAUCAGCAAUGGUAAUGUAUGCAAAGCACUCAGCCCAGUGCUUGGCACACAGCAAGUGCUAGACAGACAUUUGCUACUGGGGAGCUGACUUCCCAAAGUGACCGAGGAGCCUGGUGGAUGCGAGAGCUCAUGAUGUCCAAAUGGUCUCUCGGAAGUCUGGGGAAGCUGGUGGACCACCCUGUCCCCCGAGUGUGGGAGUUAGGCAGUGCUGUAUUCAGUCCUGCCAGAGGGAUUCUCCAAGGGCCCUGCCUCUCUUCCACAGGCUGUUGCCAGGACCAAAGACAUGCCCAUCACAUGGGUUGGCUUCCAUUGGAGGUAUCUUUGCCUCAGCUGACGACAUGAACCCUUCUCUUCUAGCAACCUGUUUGUGUUGAUCAAAAUGUGUGAUUGCAGGUCCCAAGAAGAAGCUCUAUCUGUGGCAGCAGUUCUCAGUCAGAGGCAAUUUUACUCCCCAGGGGACAAAUGACGGGGUCUGGAGACAUUUUUGAUUGUAUCAAUUGGGGAGUGUGGGCUGCUCCUGGCAUCUAGUGGGCAGAGGCCAGGGAUGCUGUUGAACAUCCUACAAUGCAGAGGGCAGCCCCCCACAACUAAGAAUCAUCCAGCCCAAAUGCCGAUGGUGCCCAGGUUACGUAACUCUGGUCUAUACCUGUGUCUCUUGAAGUUUGGUUCUUGGGCUACCUGCAUCAGAAUAAGUUUGGGCUACGGGUUAGAAAUGCACAUUUUGGAGCUGAACCCCAGACUUACUAAGCGAGACUCUCUGGGGCUCCCUGCUGAUUCUGAAGAAGACCAUGGUUUAAUGGGAUUCCUUCCACGUAAGGAGCUUCAGAUGCUGUCUAGCUCUAAAAGUGGCAAAUGCCCACACUCCUUGAGGCAGACAGAACAUUCAAGUCACAAUUUUUUUAAAUCCUUGCCAGUACCAGUGCCACCCCCACUAAAACUGUUGAACAAAUAUUUAAAGACUAUCCAUUUGAAAAGGGUCCAGAUUAUUAGCCUCUCGAGGGUACCCACACUUUCCAGUCUCAUUCUACUGAUGAGGGUGGGCAGCGAAGUCCCCAGAUGGAUGUCCGCAGCCCGAGUUUCUCAUGGACUUGUAGCUUCUGAGAGCAGAGCCAGACGGCUGAGCCCUCAAAGUCUUGCUCCACAAACUGUGGUCCUGGAACCCGCAGCAGCAUCCUCCGGGAGCCUGUCAGACACGCAGAUUCCGUGGUUCCACUGCAGCCCUACUGAAUCAGAAUCUGCGUUUUAGCAAAAUCCCCAGUGAUUCACAUACGCAGGAAAGUUUGAGACGCGCUGUUCUCACACAGCGAGUCUCCACCACGCCCGCACAUUGGGAUCACCUGGGCAAUUUUUACAAAGUACUGACGCCUCAUCCCGCUCCCAGAGAUCGUUGUAAUUGUUCCAACGUGUGAUCUGGGCAUCGCAAUUUUGAAAGUCUCCUCAGAUAACUCUAAUGAAAAUCCAAGGUCAAGAACUACUUAGAAAGACGUGACGACAUCCAAUCCGGAGCAUCCUUGAAAUGAAAACAAAUAUUCUUAUGAAAACUGUGUCAACCCAGGGAGUGGUUCCUCGGCAGUUCCCUCCUAAAGGGUCCCAGAGCAUCAUGACUCGGUCGAGGAUAAACUGAGGCUAUCCAGGCUGGUUUUUAUCAAGACUCACCGGAAGCCAUUCUUCCCUGAGGUCCUGCUGCCUCCUUGGAAAACAGACACAAGUCCUCUCUGCCCUCUGCUCCCACACACACCUGGCAAUGUUGCUGCUUCUCCAGGUUCAGCCUGCGGUGAGGGAAGCCAAGCCCCUCAUGGGGUCUCCCCACAUCUACACCUUCCCUGCAUCCCCUCCAACCCUCCCCCGUGCCUGCAGCCUGGAGAGUCUUUUUCUCAUCAGAGAUGGGGCGAGAGAGGGUCUUCCUGUCAUGCGUCUUAUUUCCUUCUAAAUAUUUUUCCUCUGAUAUGAGUCCUUUCUGUACCUGAAGGGUCUAGGCUAUUGAAACUUAAAGGCCAGGAAGAGAGUUCCUUUUCCCUCUCCUUUCUUCUAUCACAGGGAGGGGUAUGGAGAAAGACAGCACUCACACUGCUGAGGGAAGGGAGGGCCAAGAAGGCAAAAGAAAAAACAGUCAGCUCAUACUUUUAAAAUAUGAUCCUACCACACACUAAGAGACAGGCUCAGAGACGGGCAGCAUCUUGCCCAAAGAACAGAGCAAAUGCUUGUGGAUGAACUUGAACCAGAAAUUAGCAUCAAGAAUGUGAGAUAUGGGAGAAAAUUCAGACACCUUUUAAUCCAGUGGGUCCGGCUGUGAGUCAGAACCACCUGGUCUCACUCGGGGAAUCUGACUUUAACAAGAGCCCCAGGAAAUUGUUCAGUAGUAAUUCUGUCUCUUUGGAAAACAUUUUCCAGAUGAAGACAGUAAGGCCUAGAGAGACUAUGUUCUCACAGUUGUAAUUCAUAAUCUACCUAUUUCCAAAGAAAUUGAGGCUAUGUAUAACAAGUUCAUGGCCUCAAGACUAGAACAUGAUGCUUGGCUCCCAGCUCAGGGCUCCUUCUUCCAGAAACCAGCUUGUUGCCUAUCUUCCAUCCUGUCCACUCCUGCAAAGUGAAAAGUUUUAUCCAUUUUUUGCCAUUUGUAACCAAUUAAUUCCCCCAAAUUACCCAGAAGACCAUUAGGGUUGGGAGAGAAUUAGAAGCGCCUGUGGCCAGAGAUGGCUGCCAGGAGCAAGAAGUAUGUAAAUACAUAGUCAACAUCCAUCUACCCACCUACGGGGGGUGCAUGUUUGGGGCAAGCAGACUACAGAUAAUCCAAAAAUAUUAAUUUGACUGCUAAUUAAUUACUCGAUGAGUCCUAGGAAACAUUGGACAAUGUCAUUAACUUUUUUAAAUUUUGGUCAAGAAAUAAUAAUUGAAUACUCCUAUACACCCUCCCCCAUGCUCAGACUGGGGAAACAGGCGUGAAACUGUCAUCUAAGGCCCCUAGGCUCAGGGAAUUUACAUUUUUAUGGGAAGACAGGUCAAAACACAAGUAAACAUGAAAAUACAUGAAUUAAUCCUUAUAUGUGGAAAAUGACAUCAAGAAAGCAAGCAAAAGAUUGAGCUAGAAGAGGAGUUGGCAGACUUUUUCUAAAAACGGUCAGACGGUAAAUAUUUUACACUGUGUGGACCAUACCAUCUGAAUCACGACCAAGCAGCCAAAGUCAAUCCGCAAAGGAAUGGGGCUGGCCGUGUUCCAACACACUUUAUUUACAAAACCAGGCUGUGGUCAGUUGUGGCCCAUGUAGUUUGGUGACCCCUGAGCACGAUGCGUGCGGGGUGGAGGGUAGAGACCAGUG